rnacentral:rRNA from 1 species
AUGUUCGAGUAUCUAAAUGUUGUCAGCAAGAUGUUUGAUAGUGAGGCUGAAGGCUAUGAAUUCUACAACAAAUAGGCUCUUGAAAAAUGUUUUAGUGUGAGGAAAAGCUACGUUGAGUGGGAUGGAUCCAACAAAUACAUAAUUUUAAGGAAAAUUGUGUGUAGUCAUCAAGGGUUUCGCGAAGAGAAGCACAUGAAAAGAAUGAUGGAAGAUAGAAAGAGGAGGCCACGAAGUUUAACUCGUGUUGGGUGUAAUGCUAAAUUGGUCAUUACGAGACAGGAGGAAACCGGUCUGUGGUUUGUCAAGGAUUUCAUCGAUGAGCACAACCAUCCUCUAGCCCCACGGGAUCUUUCUUGUCUGCUGCGUUCACACAGAUGA